GUUGAUGGGGCUAGCGUGUUCCUUUUUGUUAAUUUUAAAUAAAGUAUUGCCUGCCUAUUGCCUGCUUGCCUAUAAUUUGACUAAUCCGUUUCUAUCGUUGAUAAAAUAAUACCUGCAAGCAUUGAUUUGUUCGCGCUAUUCUGAGCAAAAAUUCGGGCUUUUCCCGUUUUCCUCUGCGGAGGUUUCCUGCGGAGAGGUGUUAGCACCCUUUUGGGUAGGCUAUACGUCAUACACUUUAGUGCGAGGAAACGAGCUAUAUUAUGUGACAAACUGCGAUUUUAAGAAAAGAGGAUACAUAAUAUUCACAAAAGAACUUUCCUUGAGUUACUGCACUCGGUUUUAGACAGUAGAUCUACAAGGUGUAUAAAAAAAGUAGACAAUUUUGAAAUGGCUCUCAAUUUCACAAAUCUGUUCAUUUCAUAAAGUGUUUGAUAAAUAUAUAAUGCCUAUCACGCAU